ACAAAAAGAACAACUAUGGAGGAACUCCUCAGCAUGGGCUUCUCCCAGGAGCUGGCCUCCCAAGCCCUCGCCGCCACCGGCGGCCGCUCCUCUCUCGAAGCCACCGAGUGGAUUCUCUCCCAACCCUCCUCCUCCCCUUCCUCCAAACCCUCAUCUCAUUCCCCCACCUUCCAACCCAGCCUCGACCGCUUCCUCCUCUCCCACCACAACACACCCCACUCCAAACGUCCCCACCCUUCCGCCACCCCUGCCACCGCCUCCCCCUCCGUCACCGCCCCAGCUGCCCCUCCUACUGCCUCCCCCUCCGCUACUGCCGCCCCCACCACUGCCCCUCUCUCUGACCGCAUGCGCCCCGCCACCCUCGACGCUGUCCUCGGCCAGGACCACCUCCUCGGCCCGGCCUCCCUCCUUCGCUCCGCCCUCCGCCCCCCCGCUACCGCCGCCGCCCUCCCUUCCUUCAUCCUCUGGGGCCCGCCGGGCUCUGGCAAGACCUCCCUCGCCCGCGCCCUCGCCGCCGCCCUCCCCCAGCCGUCCCACCGCUUCGUCCCCCUCUCCGCCGUCACCGCCGGCGUCCGCGACCUCCGCGACGCCGUCGACGCCGCCCGCCGCGCCCGCCACCUCGGUCGCCGCACCGUCCUCUUCGUCGACGAGAUCCACCGCUUCUCCAAGUCCCAGCAGGACUCCUUCCUCCCCGCCAUCGAGGACGGCUCCAUCGUCCUCGUCGGAGCCACCACCGAGAACCCCUCCUUCCACCUCACCACGCCGCUCCUCUCCCGCUGCCGAGUCCUCGCCCUGCACCCCCUCAAGCCCCACCACGUCGAGUCCCUUCUCCGCCGAGCCGUCUCAGACCCUGAGAAAGGUCUCCAGGUCACCACUGGAGUGCCCAUCUCGGUCGAUCAAGAAGCCCUCGAAUUCCUCUCUCUCCACUGCGACGGCGAUGCUCGUGUUGCCCUCAACGCACUGGAGAUUGCAGCCACAUUGGCCGUCGACCGGCGAUCGACCCAAGACGACAACGGGAAUAUGACGGUGACCGUCGACCAUGCGAAGGAGGCGAUGCAGUGCAAGCACUUGGCAUAUGAUCGAGCAGGUGACGAGCACUACAAUUUGAUCAGUGCCCUACACAAAUCAAUGCGCGGGAGCGACCCUGACGCUGCAAUCUACUGGCUUGCGAGGAUGCUGGAGGGAGGGGAGCAGCCGCUGUACAUUGCGCGCCGGCUAGUCCGGUUUGCAAGCGAGGAUGUGGGGCUCGCAGACCCUGCUGCACUCGGUCAUGCUGUUGCAUGCUACCAGGCGUGCCACUUCAUCGGUAUGCCGGAGUGCGAUGUGUGUCUUGCGCAGUGCGUGGCCUACUUGGCCCGGGCGCCUAAGUCGGUGGCCGUGUACCGAGCACUGAAUGAGGCGCGGAGGGUGGUGAGGGAGUCGGGCGGGGGGAACGAGGGCGUGCCAUUGCAUUUGAGGAAUGCACCCACAAAGCUGAUGAAGGAAAUGGGAUACGGGGAAGGUUACAUGUAUCCUCCUGAUCAUCCUGAUUGUUCGUCGCAGACAUAUCUGCCACCAUCCCUUCAGGGUUGCAGGUUUCUUGACUGGCCACCUAUCGAUGAAAAGCAUCGGUGAGUUCGGGAUCCCGGUGGGGUAAUUUGCAGUAUGCAAGCUUUGAGCCCCCUAUACUUGUGUUGUUGGUGAUGAUGCUUUUACCAUUGGUGUGAUGAAGUGUAAUAUUUAAUUAUACAACCUUUUUUUUGCAAACCUUAGCUACUAAAUAGAUCAUAUGGUUGCCUUCUCUACUAGAGGGCACUUGUCACAAAAAUGAACUUCUGACUAAAUUAUUUUUGUGCAUAUUGAGUAUGUGUUGAGCUAGUGACCCAUAUAGAGUUUUAGUUCCUUUGCUGACUUGGGGUGUUUUGGGCUCAUUAUGCUAUGACUUGCGCCUUGAAAAUGCCUUUAUGAACGCUGGUUAAAAGGACAUGAUGCCAAAUUUGCAUGCUCUGAGGGGGAAGAUCGAUGAUUUCUUGAAGAAGUUCUAUUUUAUUGGCAAUCUUAAAAAGGCAUCCAUCUAGUGGAAGGAGGCAAUAAUGAUGCCAAUUUUAUGUAUGAAGGCCAUUAUUAACUACUGAUAAAGGGAAGGCGCAUCCCUUUGAGUUGAUGUAACUAAAAUAUUCAAGUUGGGAUAGUUCUUUCUGCAGUUUGCAUUUUUACAGCUAUUUUCAGGAAGUAUUAGAGAAGUUUCAGAUUGCUUGACAGGCCCCAAGUUCAAAUUCUAAAGUUCAUCUAAGAAAAUGUCACCCAUUAUCUUUUUCCAUCUAUCCUUUUAGGCCCACCAUUUACAUUAUUCCAUCGUUAAAUGUAGAGUCCUGCAUUGGCAUUACUAUGUUUGCAAUUAGAUUUGUUUUGAAGUAUAUUAAAAUAUAUUGGAUUUCUUAUCAGAAAAGGAUAUUGAUUUGGGUAGCCAAGGUGGCUUUGAGCAAAAUAACUACUUCUUGUACUUAUUCAAAUCUAAAUCUAAAAUAGAAGUUCUUUCCUUUUUCCCCUUGCAAUCGGAUCUCUAACUCUGGCAUUAUGUAAGAGUUGGUUGUUUGACUAUGAUGCUCCCUGUUUCAUGCGGUGCAAUAAUCUGAGUGCUGAUGAACAUUUUGUUAAAGGGGACUACUAUAUCACAGCAUUCAGGUCUGCUCUCUCUCUCUCUCUCUCUCUCUCUCUCCCUCUCUCUCGCUCACUCGCUCGCUCGCGUGGGUUGGGUUGGGGAUGAGGCGUUAGGGGGUUGUUGGUAUAUUGCAGCUUUGCAACAACCUGCUCCUCUGGUUACGUUGAGUUCCCGGCAUUUUAGCUUCAACAGCAGUGAGGAAAAUGAACCAGAGGCCGCCCAAGAGUCAAGCUGAUGCUACUGCACUGUUAAGGUUCAGAUCCAAGUAACCAUGAAGGAUAGAAUUCUACAACAGGCAGAAUUUAAUUUUCAGAUUCAUGCUUCUCAAUUCAUCUUUGCUGACAAUAUCAAUGAAUGUUCUGCAAAUUUCAUUAGGACCAGGCUAUAGAUUUCUGCCAGCUGUAUGAAGGUUGAGUAUUUAUUUGCUUUGCUUAAACUUUCAACUGCCUCAUUAUUUGCUAAUAUUCAGGAGGUUGUAAGCGGCGAUAGGUGAGUAGGAUGUUUUUCCUGCCUUGUCUGCUAAAUACUCAAAAAGUAAGGGAUGUGUCCAUUAGUUUGCAUUGUAGUCAAGCGUAGCUUGUCUGAUUGAAUUAACUAGGCAAGGGUAAGUUAUGUUCAUAGAAGUGGUGUGCCAUAGCUUUAAACCCACUCUUCAUUCAACAACAAAUUGUUUUUAGAUGCAUCCAAUUAGAUCUUGCUGAUGACCAAGCUAAAAAUGCGAGUGUCACCUGUUUUUUAUGGUCUAGUCUAUCUACUGGUUCUGGUGCAAUAUAGAGAAAAACAUGUGCUCUAAGAAGAAAAAGAAAGUUAAAUGAGGAUGUUAUGGGAGUUGGGAUUUGGUUUAGCUAACAUUGUUGUGCUGCUUAUGUGACUCCAAAUGUGUUGAAUAGGCAUGGAAAGACCACUGAUAUCAACUAUACAAGGACAAUCAGUAUGGAAGUUUAUAUUCCAAAUUUGCUUCAAAUUUUUUAUGCAUCGUUGAUAACACCAAUAUGUAUUCUUGUUGUUAGAGCACCUGUUAUGUCUGUAAUAUUUUAAGUAGAUAUUUUACCAUCAUAACUGCUUUAUCUGCACUCAAAAUUUAUCAGUUUCAGAUUAUUGUAUACCAUUCAAUUUAGAAACUGAGGGAAUGUUUCUAAUUUGUUAUCAACAUGUUCGUGAACUUAUUUAUUGCACAAAGUGCAGAUGUGUUGGAAAUGGUUUUAGCUCAGUUAUAUUCAAAAGCAUGAAAAUUGGUUGUACCAGUAUUCCUCUUUUGUGUCUGUCUCUUGACCCUCCAUGGAGGAGAGACUCGUUGCGGCCCCAACUAAUGGAAAAUGGGAGUUUAUCGAACAGUAAAGCUCUCAUAGUUACCAACUCAUAUCUUGGGCCAUGCUAGCUAGGGCCAAGUGGUUUGAGCUAAAUAUUUCUGGAAUUUUCAGCAUAGUUAUUUCACUAAAUAGCAGGAUGAUACGAUAAUAUGCAUUCAAGCAAGUUUUUAGAUCAUCAAUUGCCCCCCUUUUCAUCCAAAGCGGACUUAAUAUUUAAGUUGAAAACAAGAGUUCUUACCAAUGGUUGCUCAUGUUUGGCAAUUUUCAUGUUUCUUAAUAUAGUUUUGCUUAUUGGGAGUUCCAUGUUUCUUGGGCUUCAGAAUGAUGAAGUAUACAAAAUAAUGAAUGCUGUGAGCUGGGGAAGGGUUUUGUUCCUCAAUAUAAUCAUCACCGUGGGAUGGCAUAUAUUCGCAAUCAGCAAGCUGUUUUCCAUGCCUUCUUCAUUACAUGGUGGAUUGCUUCUUCUUGACCCUUGCAGGAGACUGCUUCCACUCUCUUCACAAGUUUUAUGCACGCCAUGGUAAUCUUAGCAUGUCUUCUUUUCCCUUUUGUUCUUUAACCCUCUCAGUAUUUUUGUCAUGCACACCAUUUUGGGGGACUUUUCCAUGGAAUAAUGAUGCUGCAACCGUGUUCUAGAUUA